AAUGGCCUAACGGCCGAACCAGCAACUUGGAGGAAUGAAUAGCGAAAGCUAAUUACAAAAAUGUAAUAAUGACUAUGUCAUAUAAAAUUCUGGGCAUUAUUUUGAUAAUGACAAGAUAUGUCUAAAGGUCUUGACCAAUUCACGUGCCAGCAGUCGCGGUAACACGUGUAAGACAAGUGUUAUUCAUCUUUAAUGGGUUUAAAGGGUACCUAGACGGUAAAAUAAGCCAAUAAAGGGUACUAUUUUUACUAGAGUUUUAUGGGAGGUGUGAACAACUAGGUAUGGAAGGUGUAGGGAUGAAAUACUAUGACAUCUGACGGACAGUCAACGGCGUAAGCGUUAUCCUAUGUAAAAACUGACGUUGAGGGACGAAGGCUUGAGUCACCAAAAGGAUUAGAUACCCAAGCAGUACAAUGCAGACAAUGAUGAAUGCCAUAUAUAAGAUAUGUAAUUUUAUAUAUAAAUGAAAGUGUAAGCAUUCCACCUCAAGAGUAAUGUGGCAACGCAGAAACUGAAAUCAUUAGACCGCUUCUGAAACCAGUAGUGAAGUAUGUUGUUUAAUUUGAUGAUCCGCAAACAACCUUACCACAAUUUGAAUAUUUAUAUAUUUAAUAUAUAUUUACAAGCGUUGCACGGCUGUCUUCAGUUAAUGUCGUGAGAUUUUGGUUAGAUCCAUUUAAUUAACGUAAACCCUUGCUUUAUUUUUUACAUAAAGUAGAUCACCAUUACAAUGGAAAUGAUAUAAGGGACUAAGACAAGUCAUCAUGGCCUUAAUAUUGUGGGCUAUAGACGUGCCACGUAUAUCUUGACAAAGAGAUGCAAAAUUGUGAAAUUUAGCUAAUCUCAGAAAAUAGAUAAUAAUAU
rnacentral:rRNA from 1 species